CAGCAGCCGCGGGAAUACGUAGGUCCCGAGCGUUGUCCGGAUUUAUUGGGCGUAAGGCGAGCGCAGGCGGUUAGAUAAGUCUGAAGUUAAAGGCUGUGGCUUAACCAUAGUACGCUUUGGAAACUGUUUAACUUGAGUGCAAGAGGGGAGAGUGGAAUUCCAUGUGUAGCGGUGGAAUGCGUAGAUAUAAGGAGGAACACCGGUGGCGAAAGCGGCUCUCUGGCUUGUAACUGACGCUGAGGCUCGAAAGCGUGGGGAGCAAACAGGAUUAGAUACCCCCGUAGUCCCUGUCUCUUAUACA
rnacentral:rRNA from 1 species